ACAUGUCUGCUGCAGUUAAAGAAAGAUUGGGGGUUGCAGAAAGAUGAGAAGGCCCCAUCAAAAGUAUUUCUCAUAAUUCAUUUUGAGGCUCCUUCCCUGAACACAAAGCAGCUCUAACUUUUUCCAGUACAAUUGCUAUGCUUAGACCCACCCACACAUAUGAACAGAAGAACUCAUCAUGAACAAGAGUAGCAUCCAAAUUCCCAAGAGCUGAAAGUUGCUGAUGCUGUGAAU